AUUGAACGCUGGCGGCAGGCCUAACACAUGCAAGUCGAGCGGAGCGGCGGACGGGUGCGUAAUGCCUAGGAAUCUGCCUAGUCGUGGGGGAUCACGUCCGGGAACGGGCGCUCAUACCACAUACUAUCAGAUGAGCCUAGGUCGGCUUAGCUAGUUCGUGGGGUAAAGGCCUACCAAGGCGACGAUCCGUAACUGGUCUGAGAGGAUGAUAAGUCACAUUGGAACUGAGACACGGUCCAGAAUCCUACGGGAGGCAGCAGUGGGGAAUAUUGGACAAUGGGCGAAAGCCUGAUCCAGCCAUGCCGCGUGUGUGAAGAAGGUCUUCGGAUUGUAAAGCACUUUAAGUUGGGAGGCGUUACCAACAGAAUAAGCACCGGCUAACUACGUGCCAGCAGCCGCGGUAAUUC
rnacentral:rRNA from 1 species